GAGGAGAGAGCCGAGAAAAAGAAGAUAAAUAAAUAUGGCAUCUAAAAAAGCCCAGGAAGACUGGAGGAAAAAAAGAUAAAAGAGAUUUAUCACUGGAUACUUUUCUCCAUCCCAACACAAGCCACAAAUUACUCAAGAAAACACAGAUGAAAACCCAGAAAUAAAUUACAGCUUAAUUAAAGCGGUACAAACGGCCAUUCCCAUGACUGAAGAUAUUCUUAC